CGCUGCCACCUCCAUCAUCCCACUGGCUUUAGAGGCCAUCGCUCAGUCUGAACUGGACAAAGUGAACAGCAGUUCACUUUUCUGACUCUUCUGCUGUCCAACCCGUCAUUUGUCUAGUUAAUGCUGAUAUCUGGGACAUUUUUCCAUCAAAGUGUUUUUUUAGAGAGAA